GGCAGGCUCCACAGGCUGAGGAUUGGCUAGUGUGGAUAAUUCAGCAGGCUCUGGAGGAUAGAGAUUGCUGCCAGUUGCCUGGCACCUGGCUCUGGUGAUUAGGGGAGAGACAGCACAACAAAGGAGGUAUUUGGUGGGUAGUCGCUUUGCAUUGGUUGGGUUGCAUAUGAAAAGUGCACUUGCAGAUGGGUCUUUUACUCUGUCUAGGAAUUGUCCAGCCCUGGGACGGGCAGACACUCUAGGAUCAACAAGGUCCCAGAUAUCAGCAAGCUACUUCCAAGUUCCAGGUGACCCAUAGGCUGUGAUGUGAGUCUUAGCUAUCUUUUAAGUACUAGUAUAGUUCUAUGAUUAGUUCAGGCACAACUCAUCAUCUGAGAGCCACUCAUUGCAACGUGGAGUUGUUCUCUACCUUUGUGCACAAACGGAGAAGGACGCUUGGCUUUUGAGACAACGUGGUGUUUAAUCACCAGGAUAAUAGAAGCGUCACAAAAUACAGUAACAGGAUGGCCCAGGGUGAGAGAAGCAAAGCAUACGCAGAGUCUGGCUCAUACUUACAAGG
rnacentral:lncRNA from 1 species